GAUGAACGCUGACGGAAUGCUUAACACAUGCAAGUCGAUGGGGAAGUGGUGCUUGCACCAUGGUAACCAUGGCGGACGGGUGAGUAACGCGUAAGGAACUUGCCUGCGGGACUGGGAUAACAGCAGGAAACUGCUGAUAAUACCGGAUAAGGUCAUUAAGCUGCAUAGCUUAGUGAUGAAAGGAGACGCCUGCGGAGAGCCUUGCGUCCUAUUAGCUAGUCGGAGGGGUAACGGCCCACCAAGGCGAAGAUAGGUAGCCGGCCUGAGAGGGUGGACGGCCACAAGGGGACUGAGAUACGGCCCUUACUCCUACGGGAGGCAGCAGUGGGGAAUAUUGGACAAUGGGGGCAACCCUGAUCCAGCAAUUCUGUGUGCACGAAGACGGUUUUCGGAUUGUAAAGUGCUUUCAGCAGGGAAGAAGGAAGUGACGGUACCUGCAGAAGAAGCGACGGCUAAAUACGUG
rnacentral:rRNA from 1 species